AAAAACAUCGCCUCUUGAACCCUAUAAGAGGUCCAGCCUGCCCAGUGACUCUGUUCAACGGCCGCGGUAUCCUAACCGUGCGAAGGUAGCGUAAUCACUUGUUCUUUAAAUGUGGACUAGUAUGAAUGGCACCACGAAGGUUAUACUGUCUCCUUUUUCUAAUCAGUGAAACUAAUCUCCCCGUGAAGAAGCGGGGAUAAAAUUAUAAGACGAGAAGACCCUAUGGAGCUUUAAACAACACAGCACUUGCCACACAUUAUUAAAAUUCCAGAAUCUUUAACUACCCUGAGCAACAUGACUGUGAGUUUUUGGUUGGGGUGACCGCGGAGCAUAACACAACCUCCAUGUUGAAAGAAUCUUUUUCUAAGCUAAGAACUACAAUUCUAAGCAUCAAUAAAUUGACAUCCAUUGACCCAAUAUACUUGAACAACGAACCAAGUUACCCUAGGGAUAACAGCGCAAUCCACUUCAAGAGCUCCUAUCGACAAGUGGGUUUACGACCUCGAUGUUGGAUCAGGGUUUCCCAGUGGUGCAGCCGCUACUAAAGGUUCGUUUGUUCAACGAUUAAAACCCUACGUGAUCUGA
rnacentral:rRNA from 1 species